rnacentral:lncRNA from 1 species
GUGAGAAUGUGGUCACCUUGACACAGCAACCAUAUGAUUAAGGGCAUGGUCUAAAAUUUCCCUUUCAUUCCACAUGGCACAUGGAGGUUGGAAUGAUUUUACAUGUUUUCAUUUUUUGUUCUAUGUUUUAUUUUAAAACUACAUAAGCAGCCAUCUUUGGGGCCCUGGUCCUGCUGCUUCCAGCAUCAACCUAAUUUAAGAGGCCUUUUCAUGUGAAAAUGACUCCCCAUCAUCAAGGGCAACUGGUUCGUUAAUUAAAGAUGAUUUAGCGCACUCACCCAGCAUCCCACCAAGACCAGCCUAUUGACUCCUGGCAAGGUUUGGCCACGUCACACUUGAUGUUCCCAGUGGGAAUUUCUAUGAAUUCUAAAAUCUCGGAAAGAUGUUUUGAUCCAUCCCUCUAGGGAGAGGAACUUUUCUGGGGCACAGAUGCAAUGUGAAGCCUGAACUAACUGAGUUCAUCUCCAGGCCUUGGAAAGAUCACAUGAACAUGCAAACCACAGCUUUGCGGCCAGUUUGAAGUCCGUGUGAGGCUUGCUACAGAACUGGCCCAAGACAGCCAAGUCCCUUCGCUCCUGUGGUCUGUGAGUGCCACUGAGGGACAAAGAAAC